UACGGAGGGGGCAAGCGUUAUUCGGAAUUAUUGGGCGUAAAGGGCGCGUAGGCGGCUAGAUGUGUCAAAGGUGAAAUCCCUCGGCUCAACUGAGGAACUGCCUUUGAAACUGUCUGGCUUGAGGCCGGGAGAGGGUAGCGGAAUUCCCAGUGUAGCGGUGAAAUGCGUAGAUAUCGGGAGGAACACCAGUGGCGAAGGCGGUUGCCUGGAGCUUUGCUGACGCUGAGGCGCGAAAGCGUGGGGAGCGAUCCGG
rnacentral:rRNA from 1 species